AAGUGCACUGGUGGAGGACUCUGAUUGCUCAAAGGGAAAGAGCAGAGCUAAGCACGCAUCUGCCCUUGUUUCUGAAGGGUCCAAGGUCCAAGAAUGUGGGGGUCUGCUUGGUGCUGCUGGUGGGACCUCACAUUUUUUCACCAUUAACCAGCGGUCAUGGGGAAACCAGCCACGGUGAAUGGAAGACAAGGCCCCUUCAGGGACAGCUGCCUCCCAAGAUCUUCACCUCUAACCUGGCCUUCAGCCCUGUUCGGGGGAUGAGGCUCAGCACAGGGGGAGCCUGGACGUGUUUUAUUGCCUUGUUUGCUUCUAAUAGAAACCAAGACCCUGCCUGGCCUUCUGGGCCUGCUGCUUACAUGGGCUUUCUUGCUUUCAUGGUGUUUCUUUCGCUUUUCUAUUUCAUCUCUGCCGCUUUUAUUGAGGGCGUUUUAAAAGUUUUAUUUCACCA
rnacentral:lncRNA from 1 species